CGCCGUCGUGCAGCGGAGUUCCGCCAUAUUCUUUACUCCUGCUAUUCACAUUUGCAGUUCAUACAGUUUCUCCAAUUCUUAACCGGAUUCCGGUGGUCUCUUUCCUUGGCUAUUCAGCCAUAGCCUCUCUGCGCCACCGGAUUCCAGUGAGGUGUUUAGUUUCUUUGAUUCGGAGUCUACCAUGCAAUCGGAAUCCAGUUCUAUGAAGG
rnacentral:misc_RNA from 1 species